CCUACGGGAGGCAGCAGUGGGGAAUCUUGCGCAAUGGGCGAAAGCCUGACGCAGCAACGCCGCGUGGGGGAUGAAGGCUCUCGGGUUGUAAACCCCUUUCAGCAGGGACGAUUGUGACGGUACCUGCAGAAGAAGCCCCGGCCAACUACGUGCCAGCAGCCGCGGUAAUACGUAGGGGGCAAGCGUUGUCCGGAUUUAUUGGGCGUAAAGAGCUCGUAGGCGGCUCAGUAAGUCGGGUGUGAAACCUCCAGGCUCAACCUGGAGACGCCACCCGAUACUGCUGUGGCUUGAGUCCGGUAGGGGAGCACGGAAUUCCUGGUGUAGCGGUGAAAUGCGCAGAUAUCAGGAGGAACACCAGUGGCGAAGGCGGUGCUCUGGGCCGGAACUGACGCUGAGGAGCGAAAGCGUGGGGAGCAAACAGGAUUAGAUACCCGAGUAGU
rnacentral:rRNA from 1 species